CAGUAGCCGCGGUAAUACGAAGGGUGCAAGCGUUAAUCGGAAUUACUGGGCGUAAAGCGUGCGUAGGCGGUGAGCUAAGUCUGCUGUGAAAUCCCCGGGCUCAACCCGGGAAUGGCAGUGGAUACUGGCUCGCUAGAGUGUGUCAGAGGAUGGUGGAAUUCCCGGUGUAGCGGUGAAAUGCGCGGAGAUCGGGAGGAACAUCAGUGGCGAAGGCGGCCAUCUGGGACAACACUGACGCUGAGGCACGAAAGCGUGGGGAGCAAACAGGAUUAGAUACCCGUGUAGUCCCUGUCUCUUAUAC
rnacentral:rRNA from 1 species